rnacentral:lncRNA from 1 species
ACAGAAGACGAAGAGCUGGAAUAGAGCUCGCCUCGGCUCUGCUGGCCUUGGCUGCAGCUCUUCCAGAAACCCGGGGCGCCCACAGAAGAAUCUCUUACCUGGCUCUCUCUUCAGGGAUGACAUCAUCGGCUCACACCAGUCUUCCAGGACCACCUUCUGGAUGCCAAGGCUGCUGCUCGAGUACCUGCUGUGCACCUCUACCUCCUGAGCCAAGGAGCACGGAUUCCAGGAACCCACUACCAUACAGAGCAACUCCUUGUGGACCCCCCUGGGAUCAGGACAGCGAGGGACAAGCGACAAAGAGGAUCAUCAGUGGCCAGCUAGUUUCUCUGGGGUUCAAACCUUGAACCAGUGCCCUAGUGAGGGGGCACUGGCCAUGGCCCUUGACCUUUGCUCUGCUUGUGUCUUGAGUCUGAGCCCUUUCCUGUACAUCUGUGCUCGUGUUCAUCUGCUAGUGAACUGGAGUGCUGCCCUCCCCGAGGAGGGUCGUCCCUUGUGACUGAUCAUGCUGUCCUAACAAUGUCCUGAGCAAAAGGGUCCCUUUGGGAACCUCUCAGGAGGGGGACCCGGGUCAGGGGCGACCAGCAUCUUGCUGGCAACUCCGUGGGUGGGGUGGGGUGGGGUGCUUCCUUCUGGAAUGAGCACGUGGCUGACCCCCCAAGGCAUGUCCCCUCCCCCUCCUCCACCCACCUUCUCGGAGAUGUCCCUUUUGGGGUAGUGGGGACAUUAGGAGCAACCUCCUAGGGUUGUUGUGAGAAUUAAAUGAACUGCAGCAGCCUGAGGCAGGGCUGGGCAGAGACCUCAGCACAUGUUUGUUGAAAGGUUUGCAGGUGGAUCUAGUCCUCCCGUUCAUGGCUCAUGUGUCUCAACCAUUCUCUCGCAGACUCCUGCAGCCCCUAUGCCCAGGGCUCUCCUUGCGCCAGCCCCGGCUUCUCGAGGCCUGUCUACACUCGCUGCUUUCCUUCCUCACCUCCAAUUUCCCCUCCAACCCACUGCUUCCUGACUCGCUCUUCUCCAUCGAACGGCUCUCGCUCAGGUUCCACGAGCUGCCCAUCUCCACAGAAGAGCAGCUGGCAUUGCCCACCGGCCAUGCCGGCUGAAGAAAAGAAGACUGAGGACCCCAGGAUGCCCAGCGCGAGGACCCCAGGAAGCCCAGCGCGAGGACUCCACCCACGACGCCCAGCGCGAGGACUUCACGCACAACACGUUGCAACCCUCCUGGAUUAGGCCAAAGCCAUCAUCUGGAAUCCUGCGUGGGACCCUGGACACACGGACACAGACACCUGCCCCCAGGACCCUCCAACUGUAAAUCGAUUGGAAGCGCCCUUGUGAGCUGGGGCCUUCAAAGGGCUGAGGAGAAAAUGCAGGCCGAGAGACCAGCUUCUCAAAUAGGCUUCAAGCCUCCAUGACCUGAGCUCACCCCCUGGAAAUGUCUGGAAAACAUAAUGGGCAGGUUUUCUGUCUUCAAAGUUUCCAUCAAAACCUCUUCAAGUUCUUUAUUGUUUAGGACUGAGACACUUGGGGACAGUAAUGGGGACUUUCUUUUGUAUCUGUCUUGAAAGGCCAAAAUAUUUUUAUAUUGCUGUAGACAAAGCCACCUAUUUACAAAUGGACUCUUGUUCCGUCGUUUCCCACCAGGAAGACCGUACUAUGUUUGUGUCUCUAUGUAUUCUGGGGUCUUGAAACAGGUUUCUCAUGGGGAUGGCCAUUCACUAGAGCCCAGAGGGGCAGAAGGGGAAGUGUCUACCCUGCCAAGGGGGUCUGGGGAAGGAGGGGGGCUAGUCUCAGAUUUGCUCCUUGUAUGUCUAGGGUAAACCCUGGGAGAAUCUGGUGGUAAAAGAACAUAUGCUGUGUUUGCCCCACAUCUGCCAUUUGUGUGUGUUUCUGGGCUACGGGUUUGCACACUUUGGUGGUUAACAUGGUGGGAGGAAGUAAGAAGGGCCAAGAGGGCACGGGUGCUCUGGUUUUCCUGCUGGGAGGCUGUUUCACUGGUGUGUGUUACAUCACAUAAUGCAUGUUUAGCUGGGUGAGUGACAACAGUAUGAAGGGACAGAGAAACAAAUAGGUGUAGAAAGAGAGUCACAGAGCACACAGUCACCAUUCUGUGCCCAGGCGUUCAUUAAAUGUUCAAUAGAAUGCUGAGCUCUGAUAGACAGAGCGGGCCAUGGACACACUGGUAUUGGGUCAUCAUGGACCUAAGGAGUUUUUUUAAUUGAAGAAGGAAUCUUACAUAACAGAAGAAAGAAUAAGAAGAGCUGUCAAAACGAGCUCUGAGGUUUUUGAAGCCCCUUAAUAUAAACAGACAGACAAUGGCGUGAUCAGGAAAGGGAGAAAACAAACAAACAAACAAACAAGAUGCUUACAGAAAUACGAGAGGACGUGUGAGCAUGCAAAGAGAACCCAGCUAGGUUAGUAUCGGGGUGCUGGUGGAUCGUUAAUCCUGUCUGGGUACCCCAGCUCCAAGGGGAUGAGAGGCAGCAAGUGAGAGGACACAUAGGAAACUGUAACAAGACAGAGGCGAGCAGAUGGGGAGCUUCAGCGGAGUGUUAAGCUAGGCUUCGCAAUCUGACCACUUAACUCUCCCAGCAAAGAAAAGAAAGGCUUAAAUACUAAAAA